rnacentral:rRNA from 1 species
CCGCACAAGCGGUGGAGUAUGUGGUUUAAUUCGAAGCAACGCGAAGAACCUUACCAGGUCUUGACAUACCGCGCAAAAGCACAGAGAUGUGUAAUAGUUAUGGCGGAUACAGGUGGUGCAUGGUUGUCGUCAGCUCGUGUCGUGAGAUGUUGGGUUAAGUCCCGCAACGAGCGCAACCCUUGUCUUUAGUUACCAGCAUUAAGUUGGGGACUCUAAAGAGACUGCCGGUGAUAAACCGGAGGAAGGUGGGGAUGACGUCAAAUCAUCAUGCCCCUUAUGAUCUGGGCUACACACGUACUACAAUGGCGUAUACAGAGGGCAGCGAAGCAGCGAUGCGGAGCGAAUCUCAGAAAGUACGUCUCAGUUCGGAUUGGAGUCUGCAACUCGACUCCAUGAAGUCGGAAUCGCUAGUAAUCGCGGAUCAGAAUGCCGCGGUGAAUACGUUCCCGGGCCU